GAAACGAAAAAACCACCUGGGGAGGUGGUUUUUCGAAGGUUCAGUAAGUUGGGGAACUUCUGAACCGUGGUAACAGGGUGUACAAGACCGCUGCCACCAAAUUCG
rnacentral:antisense_RNA from 1 species